AAAAAGACCUACCAUAGGUGUUUAAAGGUCUCUAGGUAAUAUCUCUUUUAUUUUGCAUGCAUUUAACACUGCAAUGAUGGCAAUGUGCUACAUUAAUGCACUUUUUGUGACAGCAUUUAUCCUUGGACGCACAGCACAGGACAAUGUAAUACAGUCCAAACCAGUUAUGACAGCUUUUGAAGAUGGAACAGCCACUCUUGACUGCACUUACAAAGCAACCAGCACUCAGUAUCCAAAUCUCCUCUGGUACCAACAGAAGACAAAUGGAUCACCAAAAUACAUGCUGAUAAGAUAUUCUGGAUCGAGCAACAAUGAUGAAGAGUUCAAGGAGAGAUUUAAUGCAGUUCUCAACACAUCUGCAUCAACAGUUCCUCUGACGAUCAAGGAUCUGCGUGUGUCUGACUCUGCUGUGUAUUACUGUGCUCUGAAGCCCACUGUGAGAAAACUGAAGUCAAACCACAUACAAAAACACAGGAGCAGAAACAAGAUCACGGAUGGUUUAGUCUGUGCUUCUUUGUUACAACAUCAUCAUAUUCUAGUUAUCAUCAUCAUCAUCAAUAAAUUUAUAUAAGCAGUGAUACAUUGUUAAAGACUUUGUUGAGUAAUACUGUUGUGAUAAGAAAAACAGAACAGAUUUCUUUUAUCUUUUAU